rnacentral:rRNA from 1 species
UACGUAGGGGGCAAGCGUUGUCCGGAAUCAUUGGGCGUAAAGCGCGUGUAGGCGGCCAGGUAAGUCCGUUCUGAAAGCCCGGGGCUCAACCCCGGGAGGCGGAUGGAUACUGCUUGGCUCGAGUCCGGAAGAGGCGAGUGGAAUUCCCGGUGUAGAGGUGAAAUUCGUAGAUAUUGGGAAGAACACCGGUGGCGAAGGCGGCUCACUGGCGCAUUACUGACGCUCAGGCGCGAUAGCGUGGGGAUCAAACAGG